ensembl:lncRNA
UGUACUAACCUACCAUCAUGCACUAACCCAGCUGAUUCUAAUUAGCACAGACUUGUCCAGCGCUAGAAGAACCAGAGAGCUGCUUCACAGAAGAAAGAAGAAGAAGAAGAAGCAGAAGGAGGAAAUGAGGUGCGUAUGAAAAAACUGGUUUACGUGAUGAAUCAUUCCAUUUAUACUUGAAUAAUGUCUCCAAGCUGCAGUUAGCGUUAGCCUAGCAGGUAUAUAUUAUUAGAAUAUAUUACUGAAACAGUGUUAACUUGAAUAACGAAGGCUGCGGUUCACUCUACAGGUAAGUAUUUAAAGACUACACCAUGUUGUUCUAUGCGUUUUGUUCACAGAGAGCUUUUUAGUGAAGCCGUGAGCUGCUGAAUGAUUUCUGAGUUUUUAAUUUAAUCUCUGAUCCAGAAUCCUAAAUUGUGGUGGUCUCCUUUACCUACCGUGUAGUGAUUAGAAGACUAUCAUGAUUCAGUGAUCCCGUGUGUGAAGCUGCUCCGUUUUGUACUCUGUAUAGCAAUAAAAAUACACAACCAUUUUAUCAUGAGAUCUGCUGGACAAUUUAAAAAUAAAUAAAUAAAUCAGAACAAAA